UCUUUGACUUUUGCAUGAGGUACCUUCUC
rnacentral:piRNA from 1 species